CCUACGGGAUGCAGCAGUGGGGGAUAUUGCACAAUGGGGGAAACCCUGAUGCAGCGACGCCGCGUGUGGGAAGACGGUCCUCUGGAUUGUAAACCACUGUCCCCAGGGACGAAGAUGACGGUACCUGGGGAGGAAGCUCCGGCUAACUACGUGCCAGCAGCCGCGGUAAUACGUAGGGAGCGAGCGUUGUCCGGAAUUACUGGGUGAAAAGGGAGCGUAGGCGGGACUGCAAGUUGGGUGUCAAAUCUACCGGCUCAACCGGUAGCCGCACUCAAAACUGCAGUUCUUGAGUGAAGUAGAGGCAGGCGGAAUUCCUAGUGUAGCGGUGAAAUGCGUAGAUAUUAGGAGGAACACCAGUGGCGAAGGCGGCCUGCUGGGCUUUUACUGACGCUGAGGCUCGAAAGUGUGGGGAGCAAACAGGAUUAGAUACCCCAGUAGUC
rnacentral:rRNA from 1 species